rnacentral:miRNA from 1 species
AAAUUGAGGCAUCUUUUCUCCAUUAAGAUGAGACAUUAACUUAAUUGAAUAUUAUAUGAUCUAAUAUUCCAUUAUGUAUCAUCUUAGUGGAGAAAAUAUGCCACUAUUU